GGGAUCUUCACCACCUUUCCUGUCACUCCCACCCUCGGAGGAUAAACCAAUCGAGACGACCACACCUAAUGAAGUCCUCGAUCUCAUCCCAAAGUUGAAUGCACUCUUCUGUGUCAUGGCCGUGGUCGCGAUGAUACAACAAUACUUGGUCGGAUCCCUCUUUUACGGGAGUGUCUGAAGCUUCCUUGGUUCUGGGAGCUAUCCC
rnacentral:lncRNA from 1 species